CCAGCAAACGCCUCAGGAGGGUAGGUAAGAGCAAAGGUGUAGACAAGCUCAUCCUCAGUCAUCUGUAAGAGAUUGAAGUCGUGUUGGGAAAGAGA